rnacentral:lncRNA from 1 species
UCAAUGUUGCCAUGCCUGCCUUGAGUCCAGGCAUACCAGGGCCGAACGUGUCAGGAAGCAGAAAGAGCCAUCCUCCAACGCCAUCAAACUUUAUCUUAUUGUUCUUAGGCACCCAAGUUGGUGUUCCUUCAUAGUUUUGUGGUAUAGAAAGUUUGUGGAGUUGACGCAUAUUUGACUCUAUAAUCUUUUUUAUUAUAGUGAUUUCAAGUUGAAAACUCAC